rnacentral:rRNA from 1 species
AUUGAACGCUGGCGGCAGGCUUAACACAUGCAAGUCGAACGAGUGGCGGACGGGUGAGUAAUGCGUUGGGAUCUAGCUUAUGGAGGGGGAUCAAUACGGGAAACUUUAGCUAAUACCGCGUACCAUCGGAUGAGCCCAAGUGGGAUUAGGUGGUUGGUGAGGUAAAGGCUCACCAAGCCGACGAUCUGUAGCUGGUCUGAGAGGAUGACCAGCCACACUGGGACGGAGACACGGCCCAGGCUGCUAGGGAAGUCAGCAGUGGGGAAUAGUGCGCAAUGGGGGCAACCUGACGCAGCCAUGCCGCGUGAAUGAAGAAGGCCUUCGGGGUGUAAAGUUCUGUCUGUAGCGAGGCGUUAACUACAGAAGAAGCACCGGCUAACUCCGUGCCAGCCGCCGCGGUAAUUC